rnacentral:rRNA from 1 species
UAAGCCAUGCAUGUCUAGCGCACAAGCCCUUGAAUGGUAAAGCCGCGAAUGCGCUCAUUACAACAGCCAUAGUUUAUUAGAUCUUUACAUCCUACUUGGAUAACUGUGGUAAUUCUAGAGCUAAUACACGCAACAAAGCUCGGACUUUCUGAACGAGCGCAUUUAUUAGAACAAAACCAAUCGGAUUUCGGUCCGUCUUUUGGUGAAUCUGAAUAACUCUGCUGAUCGCACGGUCUCGUACCGGCGACGCAUCUUUCAAAUGUCUGCCUUAUCAACUUUCGAUGGUAGUUUAUACGCCUACCAUGGUUGUAACGGGUAACGGAGAAUAAGGGUUCGACUCCGGAGAGGGAGCCUGAGAAACGGCUACCACAUCCAAGGAAGGCAGCAGGCACGCAAAUUACCCACUCCCGGCACGGGGAGGUAGUGACGAAAAAUAACGAGGCGGUUCUCUUUGAGGCCCGCCAUCGGAAUGGGUACAAUUUAAAUCCUUUAACGAGGAUCUAUUGGAGGGCAAGUCUGGUGCCAGCAGCCGCGGUAAUUCCAGCUCCAAUAGCGUAUAUUAAAGUUGUUGCGGUUAAAAAGCUCGUAGUUGGAUCUGCGGUCGAGGAGAGCGGUCCUCCGAUGGAUGGUUACUGCUUUUCCUGACCUAAUCUCUUCGGUUUUCCCUUGAUGCUCUUCAUUGAGUGUCUUGGGUGGCCGGAACGUUUACUUUGAAAAAAUUAGAGUGCUCAAAGCAGGCGAAUCAGCCUGAAUAGUGGUGCAUGGAAUAAUAAAAGAGGAUCUCGGUUCUAUUUUGUUGGUAUUGGAUUGAGAUAAUGAUCGACGGGGACAGACGGGGGCAUUCGUAUUGCGACGUUAGAGGUGAA